GUGGGGAAUCUUGCGCAAUGGGCGAAAGCCUGACGCAGCCAUGCCGCGUGAAUGAUGAAGGUCUUAGGAUUGUAAAAUUCUUUCACCGGGGACGAUAAUGACGGUACCCGGAGAAGAAGCCCCGGCUAACUUCGUGCCAGCAGCCGCGGUAAUACGAAGGGGGCUAGCGUUGCUCGGAAUUACUGGGCGUAAAGGGCGCGUAGGCGGACAGGUUAGUCAGAGGUGAAAGCCCAGUGCUCAACCUUGGAAUUGCCUUUGAUACUGGCUGUCUUGAGUACGGGAGAGGUGAGUGGAACUCCGAGUGUAGAGGUGAAAUUCGUAGAUAUUCGGAAGAACACCAGUGGCGAAGGCGACUCACUGGCCCGUUACUGACGCUGAGGCGCGAAAGCGUGGGGAGCAAACAGGAUUAGAAACCCUAGUAGUCC
rnacentral:rRNA from 1 species